CGGACCAACAACUUGUUAUUUCCAACAAGCUUAAAUAUAAUUUCAUACUAGAAAGCAACACAGAUCUCAGCCAAAACUAAACAGGGUCUAAAAUACAUAACAAAUUGACAUGAAACUUCUGCAACAAUAGCCUUAAAGGACCCUUAACACGAACUAAAAUUCAUUAAAUGGCUAAAGUUCAUGGUUUGCCCAAUAUUACAAAGCAAACUUAAGGCUAAACAUCAAAGAGUAAACAUGACGAAGGGAAAAUCAAAACUAAUCUAUAACAUCUGAUGAUUUCCAAAGGACCAACAUUUCAGAGACAAGAAACUUAAUGCUAUGCUUCAAAAUUUUCAUUUCCAUUUCAUUCCUCAACUUGUGCACCACAUUGUACAAGAUUCAAGAACAUGUACCUAGCAAAAAAGGAAACAAGAGCAGCGUAGAAUCAGCGGAGCAGCAGCAGAAAAAGAGCCCAGAUUCAGUCAAUGAAAUAGUGGAAUCAACUCAAGAACAAACGAUGGAACAGUAAGGGAAUAAUAAAUGCAAAACCAGCUUCAUACCAAAAACUCAAGCCAUUUCUCAACCAGAAGUGUAGCUAGGGAAAACUUUAAGUACUUUAGCUAAUAAAGAGAAAUCAGAAAUCCAAACAGGCAGGAUUUUGAUAGUUUCUCCACAAUGGAAUGCAGAAAUUUCGGAACUUUUAAAAGAAUUCAGCCGUUUCAGCUUUUUUAGGAAUUUUUC
rnacentral:lncRNA from 1 species